rnacentral:rRNA from 1 species
GACGAACCGUGCGAACGUUAUUCGGAAUCACUGGGCUUAAAGGGCGCGUAGGCGGGCCGAAAAGCCAGGGGUGAAAUCCUCCAGCCCAACUGGAGAAGCGCCUUUGGAACUGGCGGCCUCGAGGGGUGCAGGGGCAUGCGGAACUCAGGGUGGAGCGGUGAAAUGCGUAGAUAUCCUGAGGAACACCGGUGGCGAAAGCGGCGUGCUGGACACCUUCUGACGCUGAGGCACGAAAGCGUGGGGAGCAAACAGG